GACGAACGCUGGCGGCGUGCCUAAUACAUGCAAGUUGAGCGAUGAAGCUUGGUGCUUGCACCAAUUUGAAGAGCAGCGAACGGGUGAGUAACGCGUGGGGAAUCUGCCUUUGAGCGGGGGACAACAUUUGGAAACGAAUGCUAAUACCGCAUAACAACUUUAAACAUAAGUUUUAAGUUUGAAAGAUGCAAUUGCAUCACUCAAAGAUGAUCCCGCGUUGUAUUAGCUAGUUGGUGAGGUAAAGGCUCACCAAGGCGAUGAUACAUAGCCGACCUGAGAGGGUGAUCGGCCACAUUGGGACUGAGACACGGCCCAAACUCCUACGGGAGGCAGCAGUAGGGAAUCUUCGGCAAUGGACGAAAGUCUGACCGAGCAACGCCGCGUGAGUGAAGAAGGUUUCCGGAUCGUAAAACUCUGUUGGUAGAGAAGAACGUUGGUGAGAGUGGAAAGCUCAUCAAGUGACGGUAACUACCCAGAAAGGGACGGCUAACUACGUG
rnacentral:rRNA from 1 species